rnacentral:lncRNA from 1 species
GAGCCAAGCAUCUCAUUUACAAGCAAUUGGCGUUCAGAAGGACCUCCAAAGGUCAAACACUUCUCCACAACAUUAGAGGCAAACUUCUGUUGGCUCAUUUGAACUAUAUUGCCUGCUAAUUCCUUGAUAAUUGCAGAACGCUCGUGAGGUUUCCCAUGUUCAAGCACAUGCUGUUAUUUCAGAGGAGAAGAUGAAAGGAAAUAUAAGAGAUGAAAGCACAUGCUCAAGCAACUAGAAGUCAGAAUCACAAAAGGACAAAAUCGGAUUGAGCAUAAGGGAGAAAGGAUGGUAUGCUAUGACACCAAGCAAUUAAUACUAAAUAACAAAAGUAGAAACACCACAACUACGAGCUCAGAUACAUGACUUCCAAGACAAAAAAAAAAAAAAAAAAGCGAUUCCUAAAUAUUUAAUACUUAAUUAAUCUUCGAGGUAUCUAAUGUAAAGACUGAUUUGACUAAGACUUAACUACAUCAACCAUCAUUUUGUCAAAAACUAAACCAUAAUUUCAAUGAUUCAAAAUUGAACAUUGCAGACGUGAUAUCUUUGUAAAGAUUAGUAUGAUUAAUUAAUUCAAAUCACAAUUAACAAUCGAGAAUUAACAAUCGAGACAUAGUGGUGAAGAGAAAUAUAAGCUUGUAAAAUUGAGGAAUGAAGUCAAUAAGCAUACAUGAAAGAAAAAACCCUGCUCUCUCACCUAAUAAUAAUAAUAAUAAUAAUAAUAAACAGCUCUCCACAUAGCAACAUUUUGUACAGUCAUCGCGUCAACUUAUAAACUACUAGCUCAUAUCACCACCGUUUCAUGAAAAACUUUACAUUCUUAAAAACCAAACCUUGCUUCUUGUAUUAGUCAUUUUUAUCUUCCACUGCAGGGGACCUCACCUCACUUAAAUUCUAUGUAUAAACUACACAAUGUACAGUUCUCAAUUACAACCGAUAAUUUUAUUACCAAUCGGUCACUAUCCAUCACGACAGAUAAACAGAUAGAUAGAUAAACAUAAACUCUUGAUGCAGCAGGAGAGUAGGAGAUCACACUAGCCUCAGUUAGCUGUACAGAUAACACUCUUUUUUCUAUGCCCACCUAAGCAAUAUGAGGAGACUGAGCAGCAAUUCUCCUCUCUGCACAUGAAAUUAAAUGUUGACAUUUUAGUUAUAAUACCUUGGCAUAUGAAAACUCAAUGGACAAGCAUGCAAUUAGAAGAAACGUGAAACAAACACAUGAUGCAGAAAUAUAUCAAAAAUGGAGCAAGUACCUCCAGCAGCAACAAGUUUCUCUACACGUGCGACAAUAUGCUUUCCAUAAGUGUACUUUUUCAAUGCAUUUAAAUGAACUUUAAUACGCGAAAGAAUCAGCUCGCGCUGUUGGUCAUCGCAAGUCUCCAGCACCUUUUGUACGACAUAGUUAGCAAAUUGAUCUUUCAUCAUUGCCUGCAUAUAAGAGGUGCUCAAUUAAUCAUUUGCAAGAUAUGACAAACUACUAUCAUUUUUGUCAAGACAUACUCUGAGAGUUGGAUAACUUCAGCAUCAUUCAAUACUGAUUCACUAUAAGUGUGAAAACACGACAUUCUGUUUAAACAUUAAAUAGCCUGGACGCGUCGAGAUUAAUUUCGAAAGAAAAAUCAGCUCAAUAUUUCAAUUAGAAUAAUAUCUACAACACUAAAAACUAAAUUGGACAACAAAAUAUGCACCAAGAUCUUUGACCUGCUUCUACUAAUCAAAUAUGACUAUCAAAACUUCAUAGUUUAGAAAGGAACUUAAAGAAACCUGAAGAGGCUCAUUUUCAUCGGUGGAGCCAAGCAUCUCAUUUACAAGCAAUUGGCGUUCAGAAGGACCUCCAAAGGUCAAACACUUCUCCACAACAUUAGAGGCAAACUUCUGUUGGCUCAUUUGAACUAUAUUGCCUGCUAAUUCCUUGAUAAUUGCAGAACGCUCGUGAGGUUUCCCAUGUUCAAGCACAUGCUGUUAUUUCAGAGGAGAAGAUGAAAGGAAAUAUAAGAGAUGAAAGCACAUGCUCAAGCAACUAGAAGUCAGAAUCACAAAAGGACAAAAUCGGAUUGAGCAUAAGGGAGAAAGGAUGGUAUGCUAUGACACCAAGCAAUUAAUACUAAAUAACAAAAGUAGAAACACCACAACUACGAGCUCAGAUACAUGACUUCCAAGACAUUCUCAAUUAGCAAAGCAUUAAGCCAUUAAAAUAAAUCUAGAAGUCAAAUAACUUAAUAUUGUUGACAAAGAGAGUACUUUAUGAGAUGGUGUAUAAAAAUUCAUAAAAAAGGGGAAUAAUUUCAGAAAAACACAACAAGAAGCACCGCUGAGAUUUUACUGGACCAAAAGUGGAGAAAACCAACUACCAUCUCUAUUAUAUCUCAAGAACGCUGAGUAGCUGCAAUGAAUUAACAAGUAAAAACACCAUGAUCAAGUAAACAACAUAGGCAAUAUGAUUGUUGUUAGGUUAUCGCUUUCAAAUCAAUAAGUAGUUGUAAUUAUGAAAAAUAAACCUGG